GAUGAACGCUGGCGGCGUGCCUAAUACAUGCAAGUCGAACGAAACUUCUUUAUCACCGAGUGCUUGCACUCACCGAUAAAGAGUUGAGUGGCGAACGGGUGAGUAACACGUGGGCAACCUGCCCAAAAGAGGGGGAUAACACUUGGAAACAGGUGCUAAUACCGCAUAACCAUAGUUACCGCAUGGUAACUCUGUAAAAGGUGGCUAUACUACCGCUUUUGUCUGGGCCCGCGGCGCAUUAGCUAGUUGGUAGGGUAAAGGCUUACCAAGGCAAUGAUGCGUAGCCGAAUUGAGAGGUUGAUCGGCCACAUUGGGACUGAGACACGGCCCAAACUCCUACGGGAGGCAGCAGUAGGGAAUCUUCCACAAUGGGCGAAAGCCUGAUGGAGCAACGCCGCGUGGGUGAAGAAGGUCUUCGGAUCGUAAAACCCUGUUGUUAGAGAAGAAAGUGCGUGAGAGUAACUGUUCACGUUUCGACGGUAUCUAACCGGAAAGCCACGGAUAACUACGUG
rnacentral:rRNA from 1 species